rnacentral:rRNA from 1 species
UACGUAGGGGGCAAGCGUUGUCCGGAAUUAUUGGGCGUAAAGCGCUCGCAGGCGGUUUUUUAAGUCUGAUGUGAAAUCUUGCGGCUCAACCGCAAGCGGUCAUUGGAAACUGGAGAACUUGAGGACAGAAGAGGAGAGUGGAAUUCCACGUGUAGCGGUGAAAUGCGUAGAGAUGUGGAGGAACACCAGUGGCGAAGGCGACUCUCUGGUCUGUAACUGACGCUGAGGAGCGAAAGCGUGGGUAGCGAACAGG